CGGGAAUAUUGGGCAAUGGGCGAAAGCCUGACCCAGCGACGCCGCGUGAGGGAUGAAGGCCUUCGGGUCGUAAACCUCUGUCAUCGGGGACGAAGAAAGUGACGGUACCCGAGGAGGAAGCCCCUGCUAACUACGUGCCAGCAGCCGCGGUAAUACGUAGGGGGCGAGCGUUGUCCGGAGUUAUUGGGCGUAAAGGGCGUGUAGGCGGCUUGUUAAGUCAGGUGUGAAAUUUCAGGGCUUAACCCUGAAACUGCGCUUGAAACUGGCAGGCUCGAGGACAGGAGAGGGAAGUGGAAUUCCCGGUGUAGCGGUGGAAUGCGUAGAUAUCGGGAGGAACACCAGUGGCGAAGGCGGCUUCCUGGACUGUACCUGACGCUGAGGCGCGAAAGCUAGGGGAGCAAAC
rnacentral:rRNA from 1 species